AGAGCGAACGCUGGCGGCAGGCUUAACACAUGCAAGUCGAACGCGUGUAGCAAUACACGAGUGGCGCACGGGUGAGUAACGCGUGGGCAUCUGCCUCAUGGUUCGGAAUAACCCCGGGAAACUGGGGCUAAUACCGGAUGGUACCUUCGGGUUAAAGAUUUAUCGCCAUGAGAUGAGCCCGCGUCCGAUUAGCUAGUUGGUGAGGUAACGGCUCACCAAGGCGACGAUCGGUAGCUGGUCUGAGAGGACGAUCAGCCACACUGGGACUGAGACACGGCCCAGACUCCUACGGGAGGCAGCAGUGGGGAAUAUUGGACAAUGGGGGCAACCCUGAUCCAGCCAUGCCGCGUGAGUGAUGAAGGCCCUAGGGUUGUAAAGCUCUUUGUGCGGGAAGAUAAUGACGGUACCGCAAGAAUAAGCCCGGCUAACUUCGUGCCAGCAGCCGC
rnacentral:rRNA from 1 species